GCCUUCGUGGAGUAAUGGUAGCACACUCGGCUGGUAUUCGAGAGGUCCAGAUUCGAAACCCGGCGAGGACA
rnacentral:tRNA from 1 species